rnacentral:lncRNA from 1 species
AUCAUUGUAUUUUGUGAGGAGAGAAAGUAGAAAAAGAUAACUAGAUUUAGGUGAUCCUAUUCCUAAACAUGCGUUUAUUUUGGAAUAAAUUUUGAACUCUAAAAAUGCACUUAUUACGGGAUGCGAUGGAGGGAGUAGACAUCACAGUCAGACCAAAGGCACUUCCUGACUCUAAUUUGCUUUAAUCGGAUUCAGAUAUAUAUCCCGUACUAAUGACACGCGAUUAGCUUUUGAUGGCCACGAGACGACCUGCUCGUAGCUUGCGUGCACGACGAGGCCGUCGCCCAAGAACCAAGCCAUGAAUGCCCAUGCCGCCGCCGACCCAGAGAUGAUCGC